rnacentral:rRNA from 1 species
AUGGACGACGAAGCCAAGAAAUUCAUGAGAGAGCUCUUGGGUGAGUUCUCUGGAGACAUCAAGGAGUCCAUCCGCGACCUGAACUCCAAGGUGGAGGCCAUCCAGGAGUGGAAGCCGGAGCUCGAGGCCCGCGUCUCCGACCUGCAGGAGGCAGUCGGGGCGCUCCAACGAGCGGUGCCAGGAUACCAGCCCCACGUCAUCAUCGACAUACCCGAGCCGGCUGGCAGGGCGGCGGACAAGAACAAGGCCGCCGCGCCGAUCGCUCCGAUCGCACCAUGGAGGCCCUCCUCCAGGCCCAAUGGCCACGGCGAGCAUCUGCAAUCCCGGGGGCAGUUCUCAGGAACUACCCCGGGCACAGGUCAGUCACAGUGCCCGCCCGCUCCUCCGUCGCAGGCCCCCGCUCCCUCCUCACCGUUUCCGUUCACCAGCCCUCUGUCGGUUGGGGGUUACGCAUCUGCUUCCGCGGGUGGGGGCAGCAGCCACACGUUUCCACCCAUGGCAUUUCCGCAAUUCGACGGGGAAAACGCACGGCUGUGGAAGGUGAUGUGCGAGCAAUACUUCGCCAUGUAUGGGGUUGACCAGUCCUUCUGGUUGCCCAUGUCCAUGUUGAACUUCUCCACUACCACGGCCAUUUGGCUGCACUCAGUUCAGCGCAAGGUCUCCGACCUUAAUUGGGAGGGGUUUUGCGAAUUCCUUUGUAGCAAGUUUGGGCGCGACCAACACCAGCAACUAGACAAACUGGUUCCGUUGCGGAGUAUAUCGAGCAAUUUAAUGCACUGA